AGGGCUAUAGCUCAGUUGGUAGAGCACCUCGUUUACACAAAUGCAUGUUGGGUCUUUGAAACAGUUCAGAUCAUUUUGAUAAUA
rnacentral:tRNA from 1 species